CUGACGUGCUCAUCCCCUGUUGCCAUGACGACGCGUCCACUUGCUCCCACCGACAGGAUGACGUCAUGUCCCGGCUCCAACAUCAACACCAUCACGUGACAGAUCUGAGACUGACGUCAUUCAUCAUGGUUCCUCGCCCAGUUCUCCGCUGUGAUGCUCUAAAAAUUAUCCUGGCCCCUCCCCAUCACUCAUCUGUUCAUAGUUUCCAAAUUCAAGGUAUUCAGUCGUGCCUUUUCUCUACCCCAGUCACAUGCCCGGCCUAGCACCUUCACCUAGGCCAGGAACAGAAAGGUUUUGGGUUGGCCAUCUCGGACAAUAUCAGCUGUAUUUCUUUACACACAUGUGAAAAGCGAUGCCUUAGAAAAGCAGUAAACAAGACCAGGCGAGACAAAAUCAGAAAUUCAGUAAUCAGAGGAAUGGUGGGCACAAAUGAGGUCAUGCAUCACAUCCAGCAUCAAAGAAUCAAAUGGUUCGGACAUCUCAUGUGAUUACCAACACACCCUCCAGCACAACGUGCCUGCAUAAAAAAAAAUUCGAUGGCGACAAGGCUAGAGGGCGACAGAGAAAGACCUGGAUACAUGGAGUCAUGGAAACAUUAACCAACCACGGCAUCCCCCUGACCCAAGCUCUCCGGCUGGCGACAGAGAGACGUCUCUAAAUUCCCGCGACACCCAAAAGGGUAUAAGCGGCGGAUAAAAGUAAAAGUAAAGAUUCCUUUACACACACACGUCUGUAUACAAACUGACGGGUAAGUUGAAUUUGAAAAGGCAACAUUUUUAAAUGUAUAUUAUUGUUAUAGACAUGGAUGGCUGGUGCCUCUAUAAAUAAAUCAUUGGUUGUCAAGAUCAAGGUCAUUAUUAUUAUUAUAGCUCAGCCACUUCUACGACCACCAGUAUAAGACGAUCGUGAGUAGUUGGCGGGUGCUCUACUAUGGUUUGCUUCUUCUUUCCUUUCAAAUAUCUCUAUCGUUUUGGUCUCCCCUCCUUCUUUUUUUUGUGUUUGUUACUCUCUUGAAGC